rnacentral:siRNA from 1 species
UGGCGGGUUGUCCCUGGUGAUCGC